rnacentral:rRNA from 1 species
AAAAACCCGCACGCCGGAAGACCAAGGGUUCCUGUCCAACGUUAAUCGGGGCAGGGUGAGUCGACCCCUAAGGCGAGGCCGAAAGGCGUAGUCGAUGGGAAACAGGUUAAUAUUCCUGUACUUGGUGUUACUGCGAAGGGGGGACGGAGAAGGCUAUGUUAGCCGGGCGACGGUUGUCCCGGUUUAAGCAUGUAGGCGGAGG